AACGUAGGAGGCGAGCGUUAUCCGGAGUGACUGGGCGUAAAGCGCGUGUAGGCGGUCAGGCAAGCUGGGUGUGAAAGCGCCAGGCUCAACCUGGCGAGGCCAUCGAGGACUGCGUGGCUGGAGGCCGGUAGAGGAGUGCGGAAUUCCGGGUGUAGCGGUGAAAUGUGUAGAGAUCCGGAGGAACACCAGUGGUGAAGACGGCGCUCUGGGCCGGACCUGACGCUGAGACGCGAAAGCGUGGGGAGCGAACGGG
rnacentral:rRNA from 1 species